GUUCUAUGAAGAGGAGGGAGUAAAUAUACUAAAAUUGGAACAAUACAGAGAAGAUUAGUAUGGCCCUGCGCAAGGAUGACACGCAAAUGUGUAUGAAGAGUAGAGAAAGAAG